rnacentral:rRNA from 1 species
ACACGUGGGUAACCUGCCUUAUAGUGGGGAUAGCCUUUCGAAAGGAAGAUUAAUACCGCAUAAGAUUGUAGUAUCGCAUGAUAUAGCAAUUAAAGGAGCAAUUCGCUAUAAGAUGGACCCGCGUCGCAUUAGCUAGUUGGUGAGGUAAUGGCUCACCAAGGCGACGAUGCGUAGCCGACCUGAGAGGGUGAUCGGCCACAUUGGGACUGAGACACGGCCCAGACUCCUACGGGAGGCAGCAUG